rnacentral:sRNA from 2 species
AUGUACCGCCGUACUCCGCUUCCUCCGUGCCGGCCGCACCCACCCGGCGGCUGCUCGCUACGUCUUGUUAACC